GAAUAAGCAAACAUUAAUAUUCAUAAAUUUUAUUUCUUUAUAAGCGAGCACUCAAGUCGUCUAGUAUCAUUUUAAGUAACGCGUGAACAUCAAGGAUGAAAAAAAUUAUUGCAGUUUUCCUAAUGUUACAACUAGUUUUUGGGUUACUUGCAGAAGACCCAUGUGCUAGCAUAAGAUGUAAAAGCCCUUUGGUCUGCAAAACAGGUACAAAUCCAUGCAUAGACAAGUGUGGAAUUAGAUCUUGCACCAAAGAAGCUCUUAUUGGAUGCUAUUGUCCAGAUGGAUACUGUCGCAGCCCUAACGGAAUAUGUGUUAAUGAAACGUAAAAAUAUCUUAAUUUCAAAAAGUAAUUAAAUUAGAUUAUAUGAUUAAGGUAUAUGCUUUCUCAUUUAUUUUGUUGUUCUAGUGUUAUAAAUUAGGUUAGGUGAGUCGAUGUACCUCACAGUUAAGCAAAAGUAUAAAAGAGUAAUGUUUUUUUAUAGAACACUAUUUAUGCUUUAAUUCUUGCUUUAUUGUACUAUGUGCAAAUCUUUUAAGUUACAAAAUUAACACAAAUUCAAGCACGGGUAUAUGUGGAACUAGUUUUUGUAACUAAGCAGCUGUUAUCGGAUGCUAUUGUGCAAAUAAAUCUUGUUGCAGAUCUAGCACACCUGUAUUGUUGAAACUAAAUAAAUUAAACAAUUUCAUUUAAGACAAUUUGUUGCAUAAAAUAUAUUUAACAAAUAUGUAACUGCUAUUAUAUAAUUUAAAAAAUGUAAAUUGAUAACUUUCUACUCAAUAUAAAACCAGCAUCUUUUAA